rnacentral:rRNA from 1 species
GAUGAAUGCUGGCGGCGUGCCUAAUACAUGCAAGUCGAGCGGUAAGGCCCUUCGGGGUACACGAGCGGCGGACGGCUGAGUAACGCGUGGGAACAUGCCCCAAAGUGAGGGAUAACGCACCGAAAGGUGUGCUAAUACCGCAUAUGGUCUUCGGAUUAAAGGAUUUAUCCGCUUUGGGAGUGGCCCGCGUACGAUUAGAUUGUUGGUGAGGUAACGGCUCACCAAGUCGACGAUCGUUAACUGGUCUGAGAGGAUGAUCAGUCAGACUGGAACUGAGACACGGUCCAGACUCCUACGGGAGGCAGCAGUAAGGAAUCUUCCACAAUGGGCGAAAGCCUGAAUGGAGCAACGCCGCGUGCAGGAUGAAGGCCCUCGGGUCGUAAACUGCUUUAUGAGUGAAGAAUAUGACGGUAACUCAUGAAUAAG